AUAUUGGACAAUGGGCGGAAGCCUGAUCCAGCAAUUCCGCGUGGGUGAAGAAGGUCUUCGGAUUGUAAAGCCCUUUCGACAGGGACGAUGAUGACGGUACCUGUAGAAGAAGCCCCGGCUAACUUCGUGCCAGCAGCCGCGGUAAUACGAAGGGGGCUAGCGUUGCUCGGAAUUACUGGGCGUAAAGGGCGCGUAGGCGGCGCAGUUAGUCAGGCGUGAAAUUCCUGGGCUCAACCUGGGGACUGCGCUUGAUACGGCUGUGCUAGAGGAUGGAAGAGGCUCGCGGAAUUCCCAGUGUAGAGGUGAAAUUCGUAGAUAUUGGGAAGAACACCGGUGGCGAAGGCGGCGAGCUGGUCCAUUACUGACGCUGAGGCGCGACAGCGUGGGGAGCAAAUAGG
rnacentral:rRNA from 1 species